rnacentral:rRNA from 1 species
UUAGAGUUUGAUCCUGGCUCAGAUUGAACGCUGGCGGCAGGCCUAACACAUGCAAGUCGGGCGGUAACAGGGAGAAGCUUGCUUCUCUGCUGACGAGCGGCGGACGGGUGAGUAAUGUAUGGGGAUCUGCCUGAUGGCGGGGGAUAACUACUGGAAACGGUAGCUAAUACCGCAUAAUGUCUUCGGACCAAAGCGGGGGACCUCCGGGCCUCGCGCCAUCAGAUGAACCCAUAUGGGAUUAGCUAGUAGGUGAGGUAACGGCUUACCUAGGCGACGAUCCCUAGCUGGUCUGAGAGGAUGAUCAGCCACACUGGGACUGAGACACGGCCCAGACUCCUACGGGAGGCAGCAGUGGGGAAUAUUGCACAAUGGGCGCAAGCCUGAUGCAGCCAUGCCGCGUGUAUGAAGAAGGCCUUCGGGUUGUAAAGUACUUUCAGUCGGGAGGAAGGUGUCAAGGUUAAUAACCUUGGCAAUUGACGUUACCGACAGAAGAAGC